ensembl:snRNA U6 U6 spliceosomal RNA
UUAUUUCAGCAGCACAUAUAUUAAAAUUGGAAAGAUACAGAGAAGAUUAGCAUGGCCCCUGUGCAUUGUUUCACUGUUCCUAUGGAAAAAUAAGUACUUCAU